UGAGUAACCUGCCCUUAACUCUGGGAUAGCCCUGGGAAACUGGGUCUAAUACCGGAUAUGACUCCUCAUCGCGUGGUGGGGGGUGGAAAGCUUUAUUGUGGUUUUGGAUGGACUCGCGGCCUAUCAGCUUGUUGGUGAGGUAAUGGCUCACCAAGGCGACGACGGGUAGCCGGCCUGAGAGGGUGACCGGCCACACUGGGACUGAGACACGGCCCAGACUCCUACGGGAGGCAG
rnacentral:rRNA from 1 species